GAGAAGAUAAACAUUGAUAUUUCCUCUCUUUCUGCCACAAUUGCAGCAAUAGAGGAGGAGAUGAAGGCAGAAGAUGCCCUUUUCCUUCAAAACUAUGACGCUAUGAUGAAUAGAGUUUCCCAGUGCAGGCCAUUGGAUCUAGAGGACUUUUCUGAAGUUCUGAUCAAUGUGCCAAAACACCUGAGCAACCUGAACUUCACAG